GCAUUCAUUUAAGUAACACAUAUGCUAAAACUAGAAUAAUACAGAGAAAAUUAGCAUGGCCCCUAUGUAAAGAUAACUCACAAAUUCAUGAAAUGAAGUAUUUUGUA